GCCGCUUGGCCCGUCCUGGUUUACCCGACUCAACCUGAUAGGCCGAAACUGCGGGCGAACCAGGAAAGGGAGGCGUGGUUCGGCGGGAAUCCAUUCCAGGUUGACUCCACCAGCGAGAAUCACAGGUAGAACGGCGCCGCUGCCGCCUCGCCUCGGGCGUGGACCCUGCGGCUCGGGCCUGCGCGUGUGCACCCCGAGGUUGUCUCACUUCCUGUUCAGGGCGACCAGCGCUGCGCCCUCCCCACUCCACAGAUGAGGAAGCUGAGGUUAAAGUCACUUGCCCCAGGUCACUCCGCAAGUUGAAGCGCAACCAGGAUACUCUGGAACAGGAUGCCUGACUUCAGAGGAGAGGCGCGUAACCACCAGGCAACUGGCCCCACGAAAACAAGUCCCGCAACUUCCCUUCUUUGGCUCCUACUUGCUCCCGGAAGAAAAGCCUUAAACGAGAUUCUUGCUCAACCCAACCAGGCCAGCCCGGGGACUAGGGACAUGUAGGGACAAUAGUCCCUGCUUCAGGCAGUUCAGGGCAGACCACAGAGAUGUGACAUUACAGACCAUUGUGAGCAGAGGCCUUGUCCCAUUCUGUGUUGCAUCCCUAAGCCAGGAACAAAGUCCAGCCCAGGCCUGGCUCCAGGGGACACGCAGUAGUAUCCUCUGGCCUGUGCAAGUGUAUCUGUAGCCUCACAUGCCACCAUGUGAGUCUGCAAUCUGUCUGUGAAUGCCCUGGUGUAGAAGCCAGGAGUUUGGAGGUGGGAGGGAGCCCUACAGAAUGAUAGCCAGUGCUAACUCCUGGGAAUGUCCAGCCACUAAGACCUGCCCACAGCCCUGCCAUGCCAAUGUCCUCCUUUUCACGGGAGCAGCUUGCACAGACUUUCAGCGCACAGCUGGCAUUGUCUUCCCAGGAGCCAUCCUGUAACCCAGGCCAGGUGAAGGGCUCCUCCCUGGGACCCCACAGCCCCGUUCCCAUCAUCCUUUUGUGGUGAUCAAGGCACCCAUCACACAGUAUUGCCAUAAACCGGGUCAGGUUAACCUUUCAUUCCCUUAGGAGCUGGGUGGGGGCAGCCAAAAGUAUUUGUAGGAGGAAGAGAGAAAGGAGGGGACAGAGCUAGGAAGAAUGGGAGGACGGUCAGAACGCCCCUGUGAAGGAAGGAGAGCACCAAGUCCCCGUGUUCUGCCUACCCUCCCCCAGACAGCAGAUCAGGAGCACCCCGCGCGCCCCCCCCCGCCCCGCCCCGCGUCGGCGCCGGCCCCCUGCAAUGGUUGGCGGUAUGGGGAGGUGAACCAAGAAGGCCAGGAGUUCAAGUGCGUGAUCCCCCACUGGGGCAUAUAGGUUACAGCCGCCAGGGCAACUGAAACUCCUCAGGCUCCAGAGGGCUGAAGUGAGUCGCCUC
rnacentral:lncRNA from 1 species